rnacentral:rRNA from 1 species
UGAGGAAUAUUGGACAAUGGGCGAAAGUCUGACCCAGCCAUCCCGCGUGCCGGAAGACGGCCCUCAGGGUUGUAAACGGCUUUUGACGGUGAAGAACCGACAGGAUGCGUCCUGUUUUGACGGUAGCCGUUGAAUAAGCACCGGCUAACUCCGUGCCAGCAGCCGCGGUAAUACGGAGGGUGCGAGCGUUGUCCGGAUUUAUUGGGUUUAAAGGGUGCGUAGGCGGGAUGCUAAGUCAGUGGUGAAAGACGGUGGCUCAACCAUCGCAGUGCCGUUGAUACUGGUGUUCUUGAAUGCGGAUGAGGUAGGCGGAAUGUGGCAAGUAGCGGUGAAAUGCAUAGAUAUGCCACAGAACACCGAUUGCGAAGGCAGCUUACCAAAUCGUUAUUGACGCUGAUGCACGAAAGCGUGGGGAUCAAACAGGAUUAGAUACCC